CCUUCCCUUUUCCAAUGCUUAUUCUGCUAAAAGUGUGUUUCAUUUCAUGCAGGCAAACUUAGAAACCUGUCCUCAAGACAAAGAUUUUUUUCUGUGUGAACCAAGACAGAAUUACCCUCUUCUGUGCUCCUUCCUGAGGAUGUACAAUGCAGCACCUGACAUUGGAUCAGCUCUCAGCAGCAGACAUUCCAUUGUUGCAAAAAGUAUGUGUGUGGUACAGAUGUACAGAAUUACAAGAACAUGUAAAAGAAGAAAAUAAUCUGUUUGGUUUUUGUAGUUAAAGGGCACGGAAUGAUUCACACAAACAUGUCUCAGUGGUAUGAUGAGAAAAGAAGUAACUUUAUUUUCUGACUCCAGUACUUACAGAUUCUUGACAAUGACCAGGGAUUGGAUAACUAAGUUACCACCUUCCCAAGCACACUGGUGAUGUGAAACGUCCAUCAAAAGACGUUUCUUAGAAGGAAUGUGUAAAGACUUUAUGUUUAUGGUUACUUUCUUGGGAAAGUAACUAAAACUACGAAAACAAGAUCAGAAGGUUUAGUAUUCAGGGUGACAGGUUUUAAUAAUCUAGAUUCUAAAAUGUUCUCUUGAAUUUCCUGGCAGAAAUCAGCUAAUUUUCCAACAAACUCUCUAGUCCCACUCUAAAUUGUAAGUAUAAAAAAGGGCGCUUUUUUAUAAAAGCACAUUUACUUCAGUAAUGCUUUCAUGCAGUUCACAAAUCAAAUAGGCAUCAAAAAAGCCAUGAUCCCUUUGUUCUUGGCAAUUAUCAGAGGAUUUGUCUGCAAAUUUUGAUUAUUUUCAUUAUUUCUGCACAAAUUUGGCUAUAUGACUGAAUUCUGUGUGGGACAGACAUCUUCAAAGAAGACAUGAAAGACUCUGAUCUGCUGCAGACCCCCUCAGCACUGUGCCAACAUAGCAUUUGCAGUAAAUACUUGCAAACAAGGCAUAGAAGCCACCCUAGAGAAUCAACAGACUCUGUUUUCACUCCCUUUCUGUUAUGUAUUUUUUUCAUUCAGGUAGGGUGUGAAAAGGAGGAAAAGUGAACAUUACAGAGGCUAGAGAAGGGCUUCCUUAACAAAACGAUGACCAUGUCCUUUUCUCUCUCUGAUCUUUAACUUCUGCACGCUGAAGUCCCUGUCUCCAAAACACUGUAUGCAAAAGAAAGCCCUUUAAUCCAUUUCAUCUAUCUUAUAAAGGCAUCUGUUUUACAAAGUU
rnacentral:lncRNA from 1 species